GACGAACGCUGGCGGCGUGCUUAACACAUGCAAGUCGAACGGAAAGGCCCUGCUUUUGUGGGGUGCUCGAGUGGCGAACGGGUGAGUAACACGUGAGUAACCUGCCCUUGACUUUGGGAUAACUUCAGGAAACUGGGGCUAAUACCGGAUAGGAGCUCCUGCUGCAUGGUGGGGGUUGGAAAGUUUCGGCGGUUGGGGAUGGACUCGCGGCUUAUCAGCUUGUUGGUGGGGUAAUGGCUUACCAAGGCUUUGACGGGUAGCCGGCCUGAGAGGGUGACCGGCCACAUUGGGACUGGGAUACGGCCCAGACUCCUACGGGAGGCAGCAGUGGGGAAUAUUGCACAAUGGGCGGAAGCCUGAUGCAGCAACGCCGCGUGCGGGAUGACGGCCUUCGGGUUGUAAACCGCUUUCGCCUGUGACGAAGCGUGAGUGACGGUAAUGGGUAAAGAAGCACCGGCUAACUACGUG
rnacentral:rRNA from 1 species